rnacentral:rRNA from 1 species
AGCGAACGUUAGCGGCGGGCCUAACACAUGCAAGUCGAACGCGAAAGGUCUUCGGACUGAGUAGAGUGGCGCACGGGUGAGUAACACGUAGGUAAUCUACCCUUUGGCGGGGGAUAACGUUCCGAAAGGAGCGCUAAUACCGCAUAAGACCACGGAGUCUCCGGACGCUGUGGGAAAAGGUGGCCUCUUCUUGAAAGCUACCACCGAAGGAUGAGCCUGCGUCCCAUCAGCUAGUUGGUAAGGUAAUGGCUUACCAAGGCGAAGACGGGUAGCUGGUUUGAGAGAAUGAUCAGCCACACUGGCACUGGAACACGGGCCAGACUCCUACGGGAGGCAGCAGUGAGGAAUAUUGGGCAAUGGGCGAAAGCCUGACCCAGCCACGCCGCGUGAGUGAUGAAGGCCCUCGGGUCGUAAAGCUCUGUGGAGAGGGACGAAAACCCUGGUUUCAAAUAGGCUCCAGGCUUGACGGUACCUCUUUAGCAAGCACCGGCUAACUCUGUGCCAGCAGCCGACGG